AACCCGUUGAAAGACGGACUAAUACUCCAUAAAACAGGGGUCCCGCAUGGGAAUAUUUGUUAAAGAUUUAUCGGUUGUAGAUGGGCAUGCGUUCCAUUAGCUAGUUGGUGAGGUAACGGCUCACCAAGGCAACGAUGAAUAGGGGAACUGAGAGGUUUAUCCCCCACACUGGAACUGAGACACGGUCCAGACUCCUACGGAAGGCAGCAGUGAGGAAUAUUGGUCAAUGGAGGCAACUCUGAACCAGCCAAGUCGCGUGAAGGGUGAAGGUCUUAUGGAUUGUAAACUUCUUUUGCAAGGGAAUAAAGUGGGGGACGUGUCCUCCUUUGCAUGUACCUUGCGAAUAAGGAUCGGCUAACUCCGUGCCAGCAGCCGCGGUAAUACGGAGGAUCCGAGCGUUAUCCGGAUUUAUUGGGUUUAAAGGGUGCGCAGGCGGGAUGUUAAGUCGGCGGUGAAAUUUUGCAGCUCAACUGUAAAAGUGCCUUCGAUACUGGCUUUCUUGAGUGUGGAUGAAGUAGGCGGAAUUUGUGGUGUAGCGGUGAAAUGCUUAGAUAUCACGAGGAACUCCGAUUGCGCAGGCAGCUUACUAAACCACUACUGACGCUCAUGCACGAAGGCGUGGGGAUCAAACAGGAUUAGAUACCCUGGUAGUCCACGCAGUAAACGAUGAUUACUAGUUGUUUGCGAUACAAUGUAAGCGACUGAGCGAAAGCGUUAAGUAAUCCACCUGGGGAGUACGUUCGCAAGAAUGAAACUCAAAGGAAUUGACGGGGGCCCGCACAAGCGGAGGAACAUGUGGUUUAAUUCGAUGAUACGCGAGGAACCUUACCCGGGCUUGAAAUGCGGCGGACCGGCAGAGAGAUCUG
rnacentral:rRNA from 1 species